rnacentral:rRNA from 1 species
GACGAACGCUGGCGGCGUGCUUAACACAUGCAAGUCGAACGGAAAGGCCCCUUUGGGGGUACUCGAGUGGCGAACGGGUGAGUAACACGUGAGUAACCUGCCCUUGACUUCGGGAUAACUUCAGGAAACUGGGGCUAAUACCGGAUAGGAAUCCUUGCUGCAUGGUGGGGGUUGGAAAGCUUCGGCGGUUUUGGAUGGACACGCGGCUUAUCAGCUUGUUGGUGGGGUAGUGGCUUACCAAGGCUUUGACGGGUAGCCGGCCUGAGAGGGCGACCGGCCACAUUGGGACUGAGAUACGGCCCAGACUCCUACGGGAGGCAGCAGUGGGGAAUAUUGCACAAUGGGCGGAAGCCUGAUGCAGCAACGCCGCGUGCGGGAUGACGGCCUUCGGGUUGUAAACCGCUUUCAGCAGGGGCGAAGCUUGUGGUGACGGUACCUGCAGAAGAAGCACCGGCUAACUACGUG